GACGAACGCUGGCGGCGUGCUUAACACAUGCAAGUCGAACGGAAAGGCCCUGCUUUUGUGGGGUGCUCGAGUGGCGAACGGGUGAGUAACACGUGAGUAACCUGCCCUUGACUUUGGGAUAACUUCAGGAAACUGGGGCUAAUACCGGAUAGGAGCUCCUGCUGCAUGGUGGGGGUUGGAAAGUUUCGGCGGCUGGGGAUGGACUCGCGGCUUAUCAGCUUGUUGGUGGGGUAGUGGCUUACCAAGGCUUUGACGGGUAGCCGGCCUGAGAGGGUGACCGGCGACAUUGGGACUGAGGUACGGCCCAGACUCCUACGGGAGGCAGCAGUGGGGAAUAUUGCACAAUGGGCGGAAGCCUGAUGCAGCAACGCCGCGUGCGGGAUGACGGCCUUCGGGUUGUAAACCGCUUUCGCCUGUGACGAAGCGUGAGUGACGGUAAUGGGUAAAGAAGCACCGGCUAACUACGUG
rnacentral:rRNA from 1 species